GGAAUUUUCCGCAAUGGGCGAAAGCCUGACGGAGUGACGCCGCGUGUGGGACGAAGGCCUUCGGGUCGUAAACCACUGUCAGUGGGAAAGAUGGGUGUCGGUGCUAAUACCAUCGGCAUCUGACGGUACCUGCAGAGGAAGCCCCGGCCAACUCUGUGCCAGCAGCCGCGGUAAGACAGAGGGGGCAAGCGUUGCUCGGAAUUACUGGGCGUAAAGGGCGCGUAGGCGGGAUGGCAAGUCGGUCGUGAAAUCCCUCGGCUCAACCGAGGAACGUCGAUCGAUACUGCUGUUCUUGAGGGUUGCAGAGGAGACUGGAAUUCCCGGUGUAGCGGUGAAAUGUGUAGAGAUCGGGAGGAACACCGGUGGCGAAGGCGGGUCUCUGGGCAAUAACUGACGCUGAGGCACGAAAGCGUGGGUGGCG
rnacentral:rRNA from 1 species